AUGGCUGCCGCCCGGGCGGGAUCUGUGGAGCUGGUCUUCGCUGAGUCGGCGCCGGCUUGGCUGCUGCGCAGCUAGCAGUUCCCCAGCAGGGGGGGCGGGCGGGCGGCCGGCGUGACUGGGCGCCGCCCAGCUGGCCUGCGCGCUGUGCGGCCGUCCACUCUCCUUCCUGCGGCAGGUGUAUGAGCCCCCGGCAGGCCACGCCUACUCCUUCCACGGCGGCAUCUUCCGCUUCUGCUGCCGCAAGCCGCCGUGCUAUGUCAGCCUACGAGUUUCUAGGAAUCAGCUACCCAGGAAAAAUGAUUUUUAUUCAUAUGAGCCACCUUCUGAGAAUCCUCCCCCAGAAACAGGAGAAUCGAUGUAUCUCCAACUUAAGUCUGGUGCUCAUCUCUGUAGGUUUUGCGGCUGUUUAGGCCCCAAAACUUGCUCUAGAUGCCACAAAGCGUAUUACUGCAGCAAGAAGCAUCAGACCCUAGACCGGAGAUUGGGACAUAAGCAGGCUUAUGCACAACCAGAUCAUCUGAACUUUACAACUCCAGACCACAACUUCCUUUUUCCAGAAUUUGAAGAUGAAAUUAUGCCUAAGGUUGUGGAAAAGGGAGAUUAUUCAGAGAUUAUAGGGGGCGUGGUUAAGCAGGUCCAGGACUUCAUUCAUUAAGUGGUUCAACUUCAUGCUGGGAAGAAAGGUCUCCAUGUGUCUAUAAGAGAGGUACUGAGAGGAAGACUCACUUUGGAGGCUGGAGCCUACAAUUUUCAGAUAUUGCCUCAGGCGAAAAUAUACUUCCUGACUUUGUUUGCUGACAUAUAUCACGUGUGUUCUGCUCCGUAUAAAGACAAGGGGGUUGGGUAUCCAGGUGGUCCCACGAGUAGGGCUACACAAGAUGCUGGAGGCUUGGUAAGUUCCUCUGGGUCCCAGAUCAGUUUCUCAGGUCGGGAUAGUGUGAGUGCCUAGCACAGUGUCGGGCAUGCAGAAGGGCUCCUUAAAAGUGUCUCUUUCAUCUGGCCGGUUUUAGAUACACAAUUUUUUUUGU